AAAGAGAAGCAAAGCCGCGAGGUAGAGCAAAUCUCAAAAAAACAUCUCAGUUCAGACUGCAGGCUGCAACUCGCCUGCACGAAGUCGGAAUUGCUAGUAAUCGUAGGUCAGCAUACUACGGUGAAUACGUUCCCGGGCCUUGUACACACCGCCCGUCAAACCAUGAGAGUUGGCAACACCCGAAGUCGGUAGUCUAACCGCAAGGAGGACGCCGCCGAAGGUGGGGUUGAUGAUUAGGGUUAAGUCGUAACAAGGUACC
rnacentral:rRNA from 1 species